rnacentral:rRNA from 1 species
GAUGAACGCUAGCUACAGGCUUAACACAUGCAAGUCGAGGGGCAGCAUGGUCUUAGCUUGCUAAGGCCGAUGGCGACCGGCGCACGGGUGAGUAACACGUAUCCAACCUGCCGUCUACUCUUGGACAGCCUUCUGAAAGGAAGAUUAAUACAAGAUGGCAUCAUGAGUCCGCAUGUUCACAUGAUUAAAGGUAUUCCGGUAGACGAUGGGGAUGCGUUCCAUUAGAUAGUAGGCGGGGUAACGGCCCACCUAGUCUUCGAUGGAUAGGGGUUCUGAGAGGAAGGUCCCCCACAUUGGAACUGAGACACGGUCCAAACUCCUACGGGAGGCAGCAGUGAGGAAUAUUGGUCAAUGGGCGAGAGCCUGAACCAGCCAAGUAGCGUGAAGGAUGACUGCCCUAUGGGUUGUAAACUUCUUUUAUAAAGGAAUAAAGUCGGGUAUGUAUACCCGUUUGCAUGUACUUUAUGAAUAAGGAUCGGCUAACUCCGUGCCAGCAGCCGCGGUAAUACGGAGGAUCCGAGCGUUAUCCGGAUUUAUUGGGUUUAAAGGGAGCGUAGAUGGAUGUUUAAGUCAGUUGUGAAAGUUUGCGGCUCAACCGUAAAAUUGCAGUUGAUACUGGAUAUCUUGAGUGCAGUUGAGGCAGGCGGAAUUCGUGGUGUAGCGGUGAAAUGCUUAGAUAUCACGAAGAACUCCGAUUGCGAAGGCAGCCUGCUAAGCUGCAACUGACAUUGAGGCUCGAAAGUGUGGGUAUCAAA